GGAGCAAACGCCCGCCCGCAGCUAAGGUUCAGAAAUUUGCCACACUGUAUCAGAAACAGAUCCAGCCUUCAGCGAGGCCAAGGUCCUGGCGGCGCAGGCCCCAGCUCUGGAGACUUUGCAGCCCACCAGGGGGCCACGGAGGGUGAGGCUCUGGCCGGAGGUCAAGGCUGCCCAGGACGCUGCCAAUGAGCUCUGUCCUGCCACUGGCGGGACGUUAGGAACCCCGCCACCCAAACCGCCCACAUUUCCAUUUCAAAGACCUUCCCACCCGCUGGGCAAAGCCUCUGGAAGCACAAUGGACAUUCCAGGAUGUUGGGACACCAGGCCCAGAGACUGUGUCCCGGAGAGCAGGAGAACAGAGAACCUGGGAUCCCCUGCUCCCCUCAAGAGACUUUUCUGGCUGCAAGCACCUGAAAUUUGUUCUGGAGGCAGAAGUCCGAAAUCAAGGAGCUGACGGAGCUGCUCCCUCCGUAGGCUCUGAGGGAGAUCUGUCCGGCCUUGCGCCCUGCCUCUGGUGGCCACUGGCUGUCCUCAGUGUUCCUUGCCUUACAGAUGCCUCACCCCAGCCUCUACCUCUGUCUGCACAUCACGUUCUCCUCUGCGUGUCCUCUCCCCUUCUCUUUUCUU
rnacentral:lncRNA from 1 species